ACACGUGGGUGAUCUGCCCUGCACUUCGGGAUAAGCCUGGGAAACUGGGUCUAAUACCGGAUAUGACCUUCGGCUGCAUGGCCGUUGGUGGAAAGGUUUACUGGUGCAGGAUGGGCCCGCGGCCUAUCAGCUUGUUGGUGGGGUAAUGGCCUACCAAGGCGACGACGGGUAGCCGACCUGAGAGGGUGACCGGCCACACUGGGACUGAGACACGGCCCAGACUCCUACGGGAGGCAGCAGUGGGGAAUAUUGCACAAUGGGCGAAAGCCUGAUGCAGCGACGCCGCGUGAGGGAUGACGGCCUUCGGGUUGUAAACCUCUUUCAGCAGGGACGAAGCGAAAGUGACGGUACCUGCAGAAGAAGCACCGGCCAACUACGUGCCAGCAGCCGCGGUAAUACGUAGGGUGCAAGCGUUGUCCGGAAUUACUGGGCGUAAAGAGCUCGUAGGCGGUUUGUCGCGUCGUCUGUGAAAACUCGAGGCUCAACCUCGAGCUUGCAGGCGAUACGGGCAGACUUGAGUACUGCAGGGGAGACUGGAAUUCCUGGUGUAGCGGUGAAAUGCGCAGAUAUCAGGAGGAACACCGGUGGCGAAGGCGGGUCUCUGGGCAGUAACUGACGCUGAGGAGCGAAAGCGUGGGUAGCGAACAGGAUUAGAUACCCUGGUAGUCCACGCCGUAAACGGUGGGCGCUAGGUGUGGGUUUCCUUCCACG
rnacentral:rRNA from 1 species